AAACCAUAAUAGAGGUACUACGUUUGUAAAUCCUUGAACCUUUCCUAAGCUUCAUAUAAAGACUCAUAAGCCCUUUGAUUAAAGGUGGAAAUCUCAUUUCUCAAUUU